rnacentral:rRNA from 1 species
UACGGGGGGGGGCAAGCGUUUGUUCGGAAUUACUGGGCGUAAAGGGCUCGUAGGUGGCCAACUAAGUCAGACGUGAAAUCCCUCGGCUUAACCGGGGAACUGCGUCUGAUACUGGAUGGCUUGAGUUUGGGAGAGGGACGCGGAAUUCCAGGUGUAGCGGUGAAAUGCGUAGAUAUCUGGAGGAACACCGGUGGCGAAGGCGGCAUCCUGGACCGGCAUUGACGCUGAGGCGCGAAAGCUAGGGGAGCAAACGGG